rnacentral:lncRNA from 1 species
GAUAAAAGAAGGCGAGCCGGCCCGGCUCGCCAGCGUCGUCCAGACGCUCGGGGGGUGCACACCUCCCAGCCGGCCCGGCGUCCUUGCGGCGGCCUCCCCCCCCAUGAAGCGGGUGGCGCGGGGUCCCUGCCUGGCACCAGGGUCCGGCCUGGGAGCGCACCCCCCACCCCCGCCGGGCCCCUGGUGGCUCGGCCGCGGUCCUCCCCCGUGAACGGGGCGCGCUGGGCCGCGGCUGCCCCCUGGACCCCUAGCCCUGUGCCAUGGGGACCCCCUGCCAGUCGGCGCGGGGUCCCAGGACCACGCCCCUCCCUUACUGCCCCCCCCCCCCUGCCUUCCAGGUGCACCGGACCAGCAGACCCGGCGGCGACCCCCAGGGUGGGGCCAGCGGACCGCACCCACCCAGGUCGGAAUAGCGGAUGCAGCAUCCCCGGAUGAGCUCCAGGACCAGGCAAGCGGGGCACGCCCUGGGGGAGGGAACCGGGUGGGAGCAGGGAGGGGGCGUCCCGGGACCCCAGCCCCCAGCCGGCAAUCCAGGCGUACCGGGCCAGCAGAGCAAGCGGACCACGCCCAUUCGAACCCUACCGGCGGAUGCAGCGACCCCCAGAGGAGCUCCAGAACCAGGCAAGCCGGGUACGCCCUGGGGGAGGGAUCGGCGGGGCUGGGGUCCAGGGGACCACGCCCCCACCCUGCAUUCCAGGUGCAGUGGAGCGCCAGGAACCCCGGCUGCCCCAGGACCUGGCGGCGGCGCAGCGGUGCCCAGCGGGGCCACCCCCACCCGGAGCGGGGCAGCGGCCCAGCGGACCCACCGGCGGCCGCCCGGCUGCCCCCGGAGCGCCAGGAACCCCGGCUGCCCCAGGACCUGGCGGCGGCGCAGCGAUGCCCAGCGGGGCCACCCCCCACCCGGAGCGGGGCAGCGGCCCAGCGGACCCACCGGCGGCCGCCCGGCUGCCCCCGGAGCGCCAGGAACCCCGGCUGCCCCAGGACCUGGCGGCGGCGCAGCGAUGCCCAGCGGGGCCACCCCCCACCCGGAGCGGGGCAGCGGCCCAGCGGACCCACCGGCGGCCGCCCGGCUGCCCCCGGAGCGCCAGGAACCCCGGCUGCCCCAGGACCUGGCGGCGGCGCAGCGAUGCCCAGCGGGGCCACCCCCCACCCGGAGCGGGGCAGCGGCCCAGCGGACCCACCGGCGGCCGCCCGGCUGCCCCCGGAGCGCCAGGAACCCCGGCUGCCCCAGGACCUGGCGGCGGCGCAGCGAUGCCCAGCGGGGCCACCCCCCACCCGGAGCGGGGCAGCGGCCCAGCGGACCCACCGGCGGCCGCCCGGCUGCCCCCGGAGCGCCAGGAACCCCGGCUGCCCCAGGACCUGGCGGCGGCGCAGCGAUGCCCAGCGGGGCCACCCCCCACCCGGAGCGGGGCAGCGGCCCAGCGGACCCACCGGCGGCCGCCCGGCUGCCCCCGGAGCGCCAGGAACCCCGGCUGCCCCAGGACCUGGCGGCGGCGCAGCGAUGCCCAGCGGGGCCACCCCCCACCCGGAGCGGGGCAGCGGCCCAGCGGACCCACCGGCGGCCGCCCGGCUGCCCCCGGAGCGCCAGGAACCCCGGCUGCCCCAGGACCUGGCGGCGGCGCAGCGAUGCCCAGCGGGGCCACCCCCCACCCGGAGCGGGGCAGCGGCCCAGCGGACCCACCGGCGGCCGCCCGGCUGCCCCCGGAGCGCCAGGAACCCCGGCUGCCCCAGGACCUGGCGGCGGCGCAGCGAUGCCCAGCGGGGCCACCCCCCACCCGGAGCGGGGCAGCGGCCCAGCGGACCCACCGGCGGCCGCCCGGCUGCCCCCGGAGCGCCAGGAACCCCGGCUGCCCCAGGACCUGGCGGCGGCGCAGCGAUGCCCAGCGGGGCCACCCCCCACCCGGAGCGGGGCAGCGGCCCAGCGGACCCACCGGCGGCCGCCCGGCUGCCCCCGGAGCGCCAGGAACCCCGGCUGCCCCAGGACCUGGCGGCGGCGCAGCGAUGCCCAGCGGGGCCACCCCCCACCCGGAGCGGGGCAGCGGCCCAGCGGACCCACCGGCGGCCGCCAGGCUGCCCCCGGAGCGCCAGGAACCCCGGCUGCCCCAGGACCUGGCGGCGGCGCAGCGGUGCCCAGCGGACCCACCCCCCACCCGGAGCGGGGCAGCGGCCCAGCGGACCCACCGGCGGCCGCCCGGCUGCCCCAGGACCUGGCGGCGGCGCAGCGGUGCCCAGCGGGGCCACCCCCCACCCGGAGCGGGGCAGCGGCCCAGCGGACCCUCCGGCGGCCGCCUGGCUGCCCCGGGAGCGCCAGGAACCCCGGCUGCCCCUGGACCUGGCGGUAGUGCAGUGUCCCUGCUGCCCAUGGAAUGCUCAGACCCCGGGUUGGUGGCACUGUUGCGCCCGGCCCUGUACACUACACUCUAAAAGUAACCUGUCUACUUCGCCAUGCUUCUUACACUACUCACCUACAUGUCAACCGCCUCUACCCUCCCCAUGGGAUGGCGGCGGUUAUGUUUUCCCCAUGUUGCGGGUGCCGGCCCUUACACCAGGUUUUGGCAACGAGAGCAAUACACAAUUAGGCUAAAAGCAGCCAUGUAUCAAUAAACUGUUUAAACUAACAA